rnacentral:lncRNA from 1 species
ACCCAUUUUCAUGUUAGGGACCAAGAGUGAAAAAUACCCAUUAUCUGAAGUUUAAAGCGAAUACUCUUUACACGGUGGUUUGCGAAUACCCUUUAAUGGGUAAAAAAAUACCCAUUAUCGAAUAGCAAUCAUUUCUGUCAUGAAAUGGGGGAAUUUUGUAAUCAUGGAAAGGGUAACAAUAUACUCAUUCUUUUAACUCGCAUUCAGAGUAAAAACGGGUAAAAUUUUACUCAUUAAUGGGUGAAAAAUUUGUUGGAAACGAAAAAUAAAACAAUUUUGCGCGACCAUCAUCAGCUGACGGAAAAAGCCAUUUAAUUAGAGUUAAUAGUAAUAAUAUCAUUUUCCAGGACGUCAAGUUCCCACAAAUCUUCAACCGAAAAAAUGGACGAACCUAAGCUGGAUGCUGUGAAUGCUGCAUAUGUCUUUUGCAAAGCAAUGUAUUAAAGCAAGUGUUAAUGAUUGAAUUUGAUUAAAUAAAAGCGGCACAAAUAAAUGUUUAGAAUCCAUAAAUUUA